rnacentral:rRNA from 1 species
UACAGAGGGGGCAAGCGUUAUUCGGAAUUAUUGGGCGUAAAGGGCGCGUAGGCGGCCUGGCAAGUGGAAGGUGAAAUCCCUCGGCUUAACCGAGGAACUGCCCUCCAAACUGCUUGGCUUGAGUCCGGGAGAGGUGAGUGGAAUUCCCAGUGUAGCGGUGAAAUGCGUAGAUAUCGGAAGGAACACCAGUGGCGAAAGCGGCUUCCUGGUCCAGCACCGACGUUCAGGCACGAAAGCGUGGGGAGCAAACAGG